CGUUCGAGAAAGAGAGCAGGCAAAAGAAAGGUGAAACCCUAGCUUCAAGAAAUCAAGAAUCAAAGCCAAAUACAUAAGAUAAUCCGGUGCAUGAACCCUCCUUGCGAAAAUCUAACCCUAAUUUGUUAGUGGCGUGAAGGAGGAAGGUUCCAAUACUAGGAAAUCGGAAGGUUCACAAGAUCGAGGUAAAACUCCACUUUAGGCGAAUUGGAGAUAUGGAGCGAGCACGUGUCCAUGCUUUAUUAUACCAAGCGCUUCCGCUAGAUAUAUGCACACUUUUUGGGUCCGUGUCUUGUUAUUUUGUUUAAUCUUGUUAGAAGUCAUACACUUAAAAACUUGUUGUCUUCGUUUUGGG